rnacentral:rRNA from 1 species
UUGACCUCGGAUCAGGUAGGAAUACCCGCUGAACUUAAGCAUAUCAAAAGGCGG